AAAUUGAAGAGUUUGAUCAUGGCUCAGAUUGAACGCUGGCGGCAGGCCUAACACAUGCAAGUCGAGCGGUAGCACAGAGAGCUUGCUCUCGGGUGACGAGCGGCGGACGGGUGAGUAAUGUCUGGGAAACUGCCUGAUGGAGGGGGAUAACUACUGGAAACGGUAGCUAAUACCGCAUAAUGUCGCAAGACCAAAGUGGGGGACCUUCGGGCCUCAUGCCAUCAGAUGUGCCCAGAUGGGAUUAGCUAGUAGGUGGGGUAACGGCUCACCUAGGCGACGAUCCCUAGCUGGUCUGAGAGGAUGACCAGCCACACUGGAACUGAGACACGGUCCAGACUCCUACGGGAGGCAGCAGUGGGGAAUAUUGCACAAUGGGCGCAAGCCUGAUGCAGCCAUGCCGCGUGUGUGAAGAAGGCCUUCGGGUUGUAAAGCACUUUCAGCGGGGAGGAAGGCGAUAAGGUUAAUAACCUUGUCGAUUGACGUUACCCGCAGAAGAAGCACCGGCUAACUCCGUGCCAGCAGCCGCGGUAAUACGGAGGGUGCAAGCGUUAAUCGGAAUUACUGGGCGUAAAGCGCACGUAGGCGGUCUGUCAAGUCGGAUGUGAAAUCCCCGGGCUCAACCUGGGAACUGCAUUCGAAACUGGCAGGCUAGAGUCUUGUAGAGGGGGGUAGAAUUCCAGGUGUAGCGGUGAAAUGCGUAGAGAUCUGGAGGAAUACCGGUGGCGAAGGCGGCCCCCUGGACAAAGACUGACGCUCAGGUGCGAAAGCGUGGGGAGCAAACAGGAUUAGAUACCCUGGUAGUCCACGCCGUAAACGAUGUCGAUUUGGAGGUUGUGCCCUUGAGGCGUGGCUUCCGGAGCUAACGCGUUAAAUCGACCGCCUGGGGAGUACGGCCGCAAGGUUAAAACUCAAAUGAAUUGACGGGGGCCCGCACAAGCGGUGGAGCAUGUGGUUUAAUUCGAUGCAACGCGAAGAACCUUACCUGGUCUUGACAUCCACAGAACUUUCCAGAGAUGGAUUGGUGCCUUCGGGAACUGUGAGACAGGUGCUGCAUGGCUGUCGUCAGCUCGUGUUGUGAAAUGUUGGGUUAAGUCCCGCAACGAGCGCAACCCUUAUCCUUUGUUGCCAGCGGUUAGGCCGGGAACUCAAAGGAGACUGCCAGUGAUAAACUGGAGGAAGGUGGGGAUGACGUCAAGUCAUCAUGGCCCUUACGACCAGGGCUACACACGUGCUACAAUGGCAUAUACAAAGAGAAGCGACCUCGCGAGAGCAAGCGGACCUCAUAAAGUAUGUCGUAGUCCGGAUUGGAGUCUGCAACUCGACUCCAUGAAGUCGGAAUCGCUAGUAAUCGUAGAUCAGAAUGCUACGGUGAAUACGUUCCCGGGCCUUGUACACACCGCCCGUCACACCAUGGGAGUGGGUUGCAAAAGAAGUAGGUAGCUUAACCUUCGGGAGGGCGCUUACCACUUUGUGAUUCAUGACUGGGGUGAAGUCGUAACAAGGUAACCGUAGGGGAACCUGCGGUUGGAUCACCUCCUUACCUUAAAGAA
rnacentral:rRNA from 1 species